UACGUAGGGUGCGAGCGUUGUCCGGAAUUAUUGGGCGUAAAGAGCUCGUAGGCGGUGUGUCGCGUCGGCCGUGAAAACCUGGGGCUCAACUCUGGGCGUGCGGUCGAUACGGGCAUCACUUGAGUUCGGCAGGGGAGACUGGAAUUCCUGGUGUAGCGGUGAAAUGCGCAGAUAUUGGGAAGAACACCGGUGGCGAAGGCGGCUCACUGGCUCGUUACUGACGCUCAGGCACGACAGCGUGGGGAUCAAACAGG
rnacentral:rRNA from 1 species